rnacentral:rRNA from 1 species
GACGAACGCUGGCGGCGUGCCUAAUACAUGCAAGUUGAGCGCUGAAGGUUGGUACUUGUACCGACUGGAUGAGCAGCGAACGGGUGAGUAACGCGUGGGGAAUCUGCCUUUGAGCGGGGGACAACAUUUGGAAACGAAUGCUAAUACCGCAUAAAAACUUUAAACACAAGUUUUAAGUUUGAAAGAUGCAAUUGCAUCACUCAAAGAUGAUCCCGCGUUGUAUUAGCUAGUUGGUGAGGUAAAGGCUCACCAAGGCGAUGAUACAUAGCCGACCUGAGAGGGUGAUCGGCCACAUUGGGACUGAGACACGGCCCAAACUCCUACGGGAGGCAGCAGUAGGGAAUCUUCGGCAAUGGACGAAAGUCUGACCGAGCAACGCCGCGUGAGUGAAGAAGGUUUUCGGAUCGUAAAACUCUGUUGGUAGUGAAGAACGUUGGUGAGAGUGGAAAGCUCAUCAAGUGACGGUAACUACCCAGAAAGGGACGGCUAACUACGUG